rnacentral:rRNA from 1 species
AGUUAACGUGGGGAAAUUAUUUACUUUAAAAUUUGUAUUUCAUAAUUUUUAUAUUUUUAGUAUUCUAGAAAUUAUUAGUAAUUGUUGAACUGUAAAGGGUUUUUACAAAUACUUAAAGAAUUAAUAUAUAUAGUACCUUUUGUAUCAGGGUAAAUUAAUUAAUUUAAUUAUUUUAUUUUCCCGAAUUUGAAUGAUCAAAUUUUGUAUUAUGUAUUUGUGUCAAAAAAUUUUGUAAUACUUUAUUAGUAAUUAAAUGUUAGUCGUUUUCUAUUUAUCUGGUUAUUAGGGAAAUUAAAUUUAAUUUUACACUUUGACUUAUAUUAUAAAUCUUAAUAGGAUGGAUUUAAAGUGUUAAUUUACUGGGGAUAAUCUCAGUAAAUUUAAAUUAUUACAUGGGUUUACUUUUAUUUUUUUACUUUUAAAUUUUGUAUUAAGUUUGUAUUAAAUUGGUUAUAUUAGUUAUUAUUUUUUUGUGUAUAUUUUUAUACUUAAUUUUUUAGUUUAAUUUUUAUUCUUGUUUAAUAAUGAUUUAAUUAGUAUAACAAAUAAAUUGAGGUUAAUGAAUUCGACAAAUAUUAUUUCCAGCUGUUUAUCAAAAACAUUUCUUUUUGUUUUUAUGAAAAGUAUCUUCUGCCCUAUGGCUUAAAUUGCUAAAUGGCUGCAGUAUUUUGACUGUGCAAAGGUAGCAUAGUAAUUAGUUUUUUAAUUGGAAGCUUGUAUGAAUGGAUGUAUGAGAAUUAUAUUUUAUUUUUUUAAAUGUUAAAAUUUAAAUUUAAAGUUAAAAUGCUUUAUUGAGUUAUUGGGACGAUAAGACCCUAUAGAACUUUAUAUAAUUUUAUAUUAUUAAUUUUUAUUAUAAUAUUUUUUAAUUUAAUCUUAUAUUUUGCUGGGGUGGUGGCUAAAUGUUUAACUUUAGUUUUUAUAUUCAUUUGUGUAUGUUAUUUUAGAUCCUAAAAAUGGAAAUAAGAUUAAGUUACCUUAGGGAUAACAGCGUAAUUUCAAUGGGGAGUUCAUAUCUAUAUUGUAUUUUGCGACCUCGAUGUUGAAUUAAGAAAAUUUUAAGAAGCAGCCUUCUUAUGAGUGAGUCUGUUCGACUUUUAAAUUCUUACAUGAUUUGAGUUCAAACCGGCGUAAGCCAGGUUGGUUUCUAUCUGAUAAAAUAUUUAUUUUUACUCAGUACGAAAGGACCAGUAAAAAUUACCUAGUUAGGUAAAUGUUUUUUAAU